rnacentral:rRNA from 1 species
GUGUCAGCCGCCGCGGUAAUACGUAGGCAGCAAGCGUUGUUCGGAAUUACUGGGCGUAAAGAGUGUGUAGGCGGUGUCGUAAGUUUGGCGUGAAAUCUCCCGGCUUAACUGGGAGGGUGCGCCGAAGACUGCGAUGCUUGAGGAUUGGAGAGGAAAGUGGAAUUUCUGGUGUAGCGGUGAAAUGCGUAGAUAUCAGAAGGAACACCUGUGGUGUAGACGGCUUUCUGGACAAUUCCUGACGCUGAGACACGAAAGCGUGGGUAGCAAACAGGAUUAGAAACCCCGGUAGUCC